AUGGACUCAGAGGGAACAACUUGUCUAUAUAUAAAUGAAGCCAUCGCCAUGUCCAUUGCAUUUGCACCUUACAUCCAAGUAAGUAGUCCUCCCCACACCGCACUAGCGAUAAUAAUGUCACUCAUCUCCACAGCACUUGUGCUACUUGUUCCCCUAGGUCUUUACUUGUACAUGUGGUCUUGUACUCAUAGUAGAUCAAAUGACCCAGCAGCAGCAGUGCCCCCCACAAAAUGGCCAAUACUAGGCAUGCUCCCUGGUCUCGUGGCCAACAUCUACAACUUCCAUGAGUACAGCUAUGCGCUCCUCGCCGGAUCAGGCCUCAACUUCAAUGGGGACGGCCCGCCUGGGGCCGGGAUGCGGUUCUUCAUCACCUGCGACCCUGCCAACAUCCAGCACAUCUUCACGACCAACUACUCCAACUUCCCCAAGGGCGCCGAAUUCGCCGCCAUAUUCGACGUCAUGGCUGGUGGCUUCUUCACCAUCGAUGGCGAGCUGUGGCGCUUGCGCCGCAUGAAGUUCGUGGGCGUGAUCAGAAGCCCACGGUUUGCUGACCGUGUGGCAGCUCAUUGCCAUGACAAGGUGAAGAACCACCUCCUCCCGUUGCUUGCCCGCAUGGCGAGCACUAGCACUUCGUUCGACAUGCAAGAAGUAAUGGCGAGGUUAAUGUUUGACAUCACCGCCAUGACAGUCUUUAGCGUUGACCCUGGCUUCCUGUCCUUGGACAUGCCUCUGAUUGACGCCUCCCUUGCCAUGGACACGGUCAUGGAGGUGGGGUUUCUCCGACACACCAUGCCGGCCUCUUUGUGGAAGACAUUGAGGUGGCUAAAUAUUGGCCCCGAGAGAAGGCUCCACGAAGCAAACAGAGUGCUCCGCAGGUUUGUCGUGGAUACGAUGGAGAGGAGGAAGACCAACGGAGGCCAAGAUGAGGAUGAAGAGGUUGUGGGGGAUAUUUUAUCUCUCUACAUCAAUGACCCAGACUACGCUGACGAUGACUUGCUCUGUGGAACACUCAUUAGCUUCAUGCUCGCUGGGAGGGACACAAUCGGCACAACUCUGCCAUGGAUAUUCUACAGCCUCGCCCAGAACCCUAAUGUCGUGUCAAUCAUCCGUAAUGAACUCUCACCUAUUGCAUCGCACAAAGUAGCCCGCGGCAUGGGUGCCACGGUCAUCUUUGAGCCGGAGGAGACCAAAUCUCUGGUCUAUCUGAGAGCCACCUUGUACGAGACUCUCAGGCUAUACCCACCAGCGCAUAUGGAGCGCAAGACGGUGGUUACCGAUGAUACCAUGCCAAGUGGACAUGAGGUGUACGCCGGUGAUGCCAUCUACAUCUCUCUCUACUCCAUGGGAAGAAUGGAGAGCUUGUGGGGUAAAGACUGCCUUGACUUUAACCCAAACAGAUGGCUCUUGGAGGAUGGCAACAAGAUCAAGUACGUGCCAUCUAACAAGUUCCUGGCCUUCAACUCGGGCCCAAGGAUGUGCCCAGGCAAGGAAAUCGCAGUUGUGCAGAUGAAGACCAUCAUUGCCGCAGUCGUGUGGAACUUUGACCUGGAGCUGGUGGAAAGCCAGAGCAUCCAACCCAAGCUAUCUUGUUUACUGCAGAUGAAAAAUGGGCUCAUGAUGAAGCUGAAGAAACGAGAAGCGUAG
rnacentral:rRNA from 1 species